rnacentral:rRNA from 1 species
AAUAGAUACCCGGGUAGUCCACGCCGUAAACGAUGAGUGCUAAGUGUUAGAGGGCUUCCACCCUUUAGUGCUGCAGCUAACGCAUUAAGCACUCCGCCUGGGGAGUACGGCCGCAAGGCUGAAACUCAAAGGAAUUGACGGGGGCCCGCACAAGCGGCGGAGCAUGUGGUUUAAUUCGAAGCAACGCGAAGAACCUUACCAGGUCUUGACAUCCUUCGCUACCUCUAGAGAUAGAGGGUUCCCCUUCGGGGGACGGAGUGACAGGUGGUGCAUGGUUGUCGUCAGCUCGUGUCGUGAGAUGUUGGGUUAAGUCCCGCAACGAGCGCAACCCUUGACCUUAGUUGCCAGCAUUCAGUUGGGCACUCUAAGGUGACUGCCGGUGACAAACCGGAGGAAGGUGGGGAUGACGUCAAAUCAUCAUGCCCCUUAUGACCUGGGCUACACACGUGCUACAAUGGAUGGUACAAAGGGUCGCGAAACCGCGAGGUGGAGCCAAUCCCAAAAAACCAUUCUCAGUUCGGAUUGCAGG